GGAGAAGUCACUUUGAUACGGAUNGUCUAGAGGGAGGUAGGUGCAUGUAGAAUUUCUGGUGGGGCGGUGAAAUCCGUAGAUAUCACUAGGAACGCCAGUGGCGAAAGUGAAGUGUCGGAGAUCUUACGACGUUGAGGCUCGAUAGUUUGCAGAUCGGACGGGAGGAGAUACUACGGUAGUCCUAUCCCUAAGCUAUGGGUACUAGAUGUCAGACUUUCAUCAGUAAACAGCCGAAGCAAAAGUGUUAAGUACCCAGCUUGGGGAGUAUGGUCGCAAGGCUGAAAAUCAAAGGAAUCUAUGGGGGAUCCCACAAGCGGUGGAGCAUGUGCAGUAAUUGGAGGGUACGCGAAGAACCUUAUCCUGGAAUUGACUCAUGUGAAAACGGUAGGAAGUAACAACCGGAAACGGCCACAUGAACGUUAUCCAAUCCGGAACUUACCACAGCACAUGCAUGGCUGUCGUCAGCUCGUGUCGUGAGAUGUCUUGUUAAGUCCGAUAAAGAGAGCAACCCUUGUCUUUAGCUUCCAUCGAGCAAUGUCGGGAACUCUAGAGAGACUUCCGGCGUCAAACAGGAGGAAGGUGGGGAUGAUGCCAAGUCAUCAUGGCCUGUAUGUCCAGGGCAGCACACGUGGUACAAUCUCGUAUACAGAGGGACGCAAAAUCGCAAGAUCAAGCAAAUCCCAAAAAGUACGCCCCAGUUCAGAAGGCAGGCUGCAACUAACUUGCAUGAAGUUGGAAUCGCUAGUAAUAGCGGGUCAGCAACACCGCGGUGAAUUCCUCUUGAGCCUUGUACACAUGCCCGUCAAGCCACGAAAGGGAGGGGCAUCCGAAGUUGCCACACUAAGUUGGUGCCGAAGAUGAAACUCCAGAGUGGGACUAAGUC
rnacentral:rRNA from 1 species